UAAUUUUUGUGCCUCUUGCUGGACUCUCUCCAAUUUGUCCACACCCUUUCUAUAGUGGAGACCCAAAACUGAUGCACUACUCCAGAUUAGAUCUCACCAAUGCAAAA